UGCCAGCAGCCGCGGUAAUACAUAGGGGGCAAGCGUUAUCCGGACUUACUGGGCGUAAAGCGCACGUAGGCGGAUUAGUAAGUUAGGGGUGAAAUCCCGGGGCUCAACCUCGGACCCGCACCUAAAACUUCCAGCCUAGAGGAUGGACGGAGAAAAGGGAAUUCCACGUGUAGCGGUGAAAUGCGUAGAUAUGUGGAAGAACACCAGUGGCGAAGGCGCUUUUCUAGUUUAUUCCUGACGCUGAGAUGCGAAAGCAAGGGGAGCAAACAGGAUUAGAUA
rnacentral:rRNA from 1 species